CCUACGGGAGGCAGCAGUGGGGAAUAUUGCACAAUGGGGGAAACCCUGAUGCAGCGACGCCGCGUGAGCGAUGAAGUAUUUCGGUAUGUAAAGCUCUAUCAGCAGGGAAGAAAAUGACGGUACCUGACUAAGAAGCCCCGGCUAACUACGUGCCAGCAGCCGCGGUAAU
rnacentral:rRNA from 1 species